rnacentral:rRNA from 1 species
UAAUAUACGCUUGUCUCAAAGGUUAAGCCAUGCAUGUCUAAGUACAAACAGAUUUAAUGUGAAACCGCAUAAGGCUCAGUAUAACAGCUAUAAUUUACAAGAUCAUUUAACUAGUUACUUGGAUAACUGUGGAAAAUCUAGAGCUAAUACAUGCAAAAUGCAGGAACCUCGCGGAACCUGUGCAAUUAUUAGUCAAACCAAUCGUCCUCCGUGACGCUGGAGUUGAAAUCUGGAUAAUUUUGUUGAUCGUAUGGUCUCGCACCGACGACAGAUCUUUCAAAUAUCUGCCCUAUCAACUAUUGAUGGUAGUAUAGAGGACUACCAUGGUUGCAACGGGUAACGGGGAAUCAGAAAUUCGAUUCCGGAGAGGGAGCCUGAGAAAUGGCUACCCACAUCCAAGGAAGGCAGCAGGCGCGUAAAUUACCCAAUCCCGGCACGGGGAGGUAGUGACGAGAAAUAACAAUAUAAGACUCUUUUAUGACGUCUUAUAAUUGGAAUGAGUUGAGCAUAAAUCCUUCAACAAGGAUCAAGUGGAGGGCAAGUCUGGUGCCAGCAGCCGCGGUAAUUCCAGCUCCACUAGCGUAUAUUA